rnacentral:tRNA from 1 species
ACCUGGUUGCCUCAGUCAGUAGAGCAUGUGAUUCUUGAUCUCGGGGUUGUGAGUUCAAGCCCCACAUUGGGUG